rnacentral:rRNA from 1 species
GUCCACGCCCUAAACGAUGUCAACUAGUUGUUCGGUGAGGAGACUCAUUGAGUAACGCAGCUAACGCGUGAAGUUGACCGCCUGGGGAGUACGGCCGCAAGGUUAAACUCAAAGGAAUUGACGGGGACCCGCACAAGCGGUGGAUGAUGUGGAUUAAUUCGAUGCAACGCGAAAAACCUUACCUACCCUUGACAUGCCAGGAACUUACCAGAGAUGGUUUGGUGCUCGAAAGAGAGCCUGGACACAGGUGCUGCAUGGCUGUCGU